UUAAUCUUAUUACGUAUACAUCUUGCCUUCCAAUAGGUAGGCAAAUUUACCUAGGUUACUUUUGAAACUUUUUAUCUACAUCUUUUAAAGCACAACAAGAGAAAAAUGAGACAUAAAAGGGUUUGUCCAGAAACAGAAGCUUUGCAUUUCACUUCUUCUGGAAGGGAUAAAGACACAUUUUACAAAAGAUUCAUCAACAAGGAGAAAGGACCAACUCCAUUCAUCGCAUAGCAGUCCACAACUACCAGAAAAGAUCUCACAGACAUCUCACAGAGUGUUAUCUGUAUUUACCCAGAAAUGACUGACACUCACCCGAGUCACAUUCCAGAGGAAUU